rnacentral:rRNA from 1 species
UACAANCAACAAUCNGCCAGNGAACUACAAGUGACAAACUUUAAACUCUAAGGACCUGGCGGUAUCCCACUCGUACUAGAGGAGCCUGUCCUGUAAUCGAUACUCCACGCUGCACCUUACCCCCCCUUGCAACCCCAAUCUAUAUACCGCCGUCGCCAGCUCACAAUGUGAAUGCACCACCGUGAGCAAAAUAAUUAAACCAUAAAAACGACAGGUCAAGGUGUAGUUUACGGGGGGGGGAGAGAUGGGCUACAUUUUCUCCACCAGAAAAUACCACCCGCACCGUGAAACCUACGCUCACAGGCGGAUUUANAAGUAAGCCUGGCAAGACNUGCCAACCUGAAAAAGCUCUGGGAUG